GGGCGCAAGCCUGAUGCAGCCAUGCCGCGUGUGUGAAGAAGGCCUUCGGGUUGUAAAGCACUUUCAGUAAGGAGGAAAGGUUAAGUGUUAAUAGCACUUAGCUGUGACGUUACUUACAGAAGAAGCACCGGCUAACUCCGUGCCAGCAGCCGCGGUAAUACGGAGGGUGCGAGCGUUAAUCGGAAUUACUGGGCGUAAAGCGUACGCAGGCGGUUUGUUAAGCGAGAUGUGAAAGCCCCGGGCUCAACCUGGGAACUGCAUUUCGAACUGGCAAACUAGAGUGUGAUAGAGGGUGGUAGAAUUUCAGGUGUAGCGGUGAAAUGCGUAGAGAUCUGAAGGAAUACCGAUGGCGAAGGCAGCCACCUGGGUCAACACUGACGCUCAUGUACGAAAGCGUGGGGAGCAAACAGGAUUAGAUACCCUGGUAGUCCACGCCGUAAACGAUGUCUACUAGAAGCUCGGGUCUUCGGACUUGUUUUUCAAAGCUAACGCAUUAAGUAGACCGCCUGGGGAGUACGGCCGCAAGGUUA
rnacentral:rRNA from 1 species